AGACAGCAGCAGCCACGGUAAUACGUAGGUGGCAAGCGUUGUCCGGAAUUAUUGGGCGUAAAGGGCUCGCAGGCGGUUUCUUAAGUCUGAUGUGAAAGCCCCCGGCUCAACCGGGGAGGGUCAUUGGAAACUGGGAAACUUGAGUGCAGAAGAGGAGAGUGGAAUUCCACGUGUAGCGGUGAAAUGCGUAGAGAUGUGGAGGAACACCAGUGGCGAAGGCGACUCUCUGGUCUGUAACUGACGCUGAGGAGCGAAAGCGUGGGGAGCGAACAGGAUUAGAUACCCGGGUAGUCCCUGUCUCUUAUAA
rnacentral:rRNA from 1 species